GAUGAACGCUGGCGGCGUGCCUAAUACAUGCAAGUCGAGCGAACAGAUGAGGAGCUUGCUCCUCUGACGUUAGCGGCGGACGGGUGAGUAACACGUGGAUAAACUACCUAUAAGACUGGGAUAACUUCGGGAAACCGGAGCUAAUACCGGAUAAUAUAUUGAACCGCAUGGUUCAAUAGUGAAAGACGGUUUUGCUGUCACUUAUAGAUGGAUCCGCGCCGCAUUAGCUAGUUGGUAAGGUAACGGCUUACCAAGGCAACGAUGCGUAGCCGACCUGAGAGGGUGAUCGGCCACCCUGGAUCUGAGGCACGGUCCAGACUCCUACGGGAGGCAGCAGCAGGGAAUCCUCCGCAAGGCGCCAAAGCUUGACGGAGCAACGCCGCUUGAGUGAUGAAGGUCUUCGUAUCGUAAAACUCUGUUAUUUGGGAAUGACAAAUGUGUAAGUAACUAUGCGCAUCUUGACGGUACCUUGUCAGAAAGCCACGGCUAACUACGGG
rnacentral:rRNA from 1 species